GGCACGCCUUAUACAUGCAAGUCGAACGAAGUAGUCAAUACUUAGUGGCAGACGGGUGAGUAACAUGUGGGUAUCUUCCCUUUGGUGAGGAAUAACACGAGGAAACUUGCGCUAAUACCUCAUAAGUCUUUACGGAGAAAGCUUUAUGCGCCGAAGGAUGAGCCCGCACUUGAUUAGCUUGUUGGUGGGGUAAUGGCCUACCAAGACUUUGAUCAAUAGCUGAUCUGAGAGGAUGAUCAGCCACAUUGGGACUGAGACACGGCCCAAACUCCUACGGGAGGCAGCAGUAGGGAAUAUUGCACAAUGGAGGAAACUCUGAUGCAGCGAUGCCGCGUGAGUGAAGAAGGCCUUUGGGUUGUAAAGCUCUUUCGUCGGGGAAGAAAAUGACUGUACCCGAAUAAGAAGGUCCGGCUAACUUCGUGCCAGCAGCCGCGGUAAUACGAAGGGACCUAGCGUAGUUCGGAAUUACUGGGCUUAAAGAGUUUCGUAGGUGGUUAAAAUAGUUGGUUGUGAGAUCCCGGAGCUUAACUCCGGAACUGCAAUCAAACUUUUUAGCUAGAGUAUGAUAGAGGAAAGCAGAAUUUCUAGUGUAGAGGUGAAAUUCGUAGAUAUUAGAAAGA
rnacentral:rRNA from 1 species